rnacentral:lncRNA from 1 species
GAGUGCGUGGAGGGUAAAAGCCAGUCAGUCAGUGAGAAGCAAAGAUCAACCACCUCAGAAGAGCCAGAUUCCACUUCUGUGGCCAGGACUUUUACAUUAUGGCUGGUCCGAUUGUUUUACCCUGCGUUCUAUGCUACUAAACCUUGGAUCAUUCCUAAAGUACAAAUUCUGUUCUCGAACCACAAACAAGGCUAAAAGAUCGGAGGAAAUUCAGUGAAUAUACAGGAUUGGGGUUGUGUAUUUUUAAAAGUAUUGAGCUUUAUAAUGUAAUUAUUCAAGAAAUAGAAUCAUGGUUUUUUUAUGAUGUUGCCAGCAUUUUAAAUUACAUGUUUAUUAAGUGGCAUUGCUCAAAUAACUACAGAGUAUGCGUGGAAAUAUUUGCUGUCUGAAUAGUUUGGAGAUUCAAAGAGAAAAAUCAAGCUUCAGAGGUGUCUGAUGAUUUGUGAGCCUCAAGUGACUACUCUGUGGAAUCAUCUGUCCUUGCCUUUGAAUUAGCUUUCCCUAGGCCAUGAGUCAACAUUAGUAGUUUAUACAUCCAAAUUGAUGACAAGAGCACCUCAAAGGCAGCAGCCUCAAGGAGCAGCCAUGGCCCCAGACUUGUCGCACGGAUGCAGAAAACUUAAUGGAGGAGGCUGAGGUCAGAAUGGGAAGAGUUUUUAAAAAAUAAAAAGGGGAGCUAAUAUGUGAGGAACUGAUUGCUGUGCAUUAUUUUCCACUGAACAGACCUUCUUUUAACUUCUAAUCUCAAGCACAUAGCAGCUGUUGUUUUCAUAUUAAAGAUCAGUAAGUGUUUGUUGAAUGAAUGUAUAAAUUCUUCCCCAAUCUCUGUUCCAUGUAAUAAGAACUAAGUUAGCAUUCAAUUAUAAAGAGGACUUAGAAAGUCUGCAGACAUUUUUGAUCAAAAAUCCUUUUAACUGUCUUCUUAUGGUUCCCGGUAACACCUAAGCCCAAAAAACUCAGGUCAUUUCUUGCCUGUACUGUUGCAAUAGCCUCAUAAUAACUAGUCUUCUCCUUUAUCAACCACAGUCGUCUCCGCUACACAAAGAAGAGAGGGUGCUAAUCUAAAGUGUAAAUUAUUUUAAAUCAGCACCCUUCUUGUAAUUUCCCAGUGGUUUUUCCUGUCAUAAGAAUAACAUGCAAAAUUCCUUGCUUGCAAAGCCAGGUAUGACCUUGCCCCGUCUACCUUACUGGCAUCGUCUCUCAUGACUCUUCCCCUUUUUCACUCUCCAUCUUGCCUUUUCCCAACCAUGCCUGCUAGUGAGCCUUAGCCCUUGUGUUUUCUCUGCCAGGGAUGCAUGACUGGCUUCUUUACUUUAUUCUGAUCUCUCUGCUCAAAUGUCAUCUUUUUAGAGAUAGCUUUCCUAAACAUCUUUAAAAGUACCCCAUGAACUGUGAAACACCUUUCCUGCUUUUUCUUCAUAGUACUUAUCACUUCCUGAUAUUAUGUUAGACAACAAGCAAAUAAGUAUAUGCUGUUCCCACUAAAAUAUAAGCUCCAUUUGAACAGGAGCCUUGAUUAUUCCUGAGUAUACCCCUAGUGCCCAGAACCUAGUAGGGCUUUAAUAAAUAUUAGAUUCAUUUGUUGAAUGAAAAAAUGAAUGAAUAAUUGAAUAAAGAUAUCCAGGUAGAGUGUCCGGGCAGCCCAACCUAUGUGAAGCCAGUACAAGAAUGUUUCUGUGACAUAGUGAGCGCAAUUAUUCCUCUAAAUGAUGAACUUGCAUGAGUACACAAGGAUAAAAUUAAGCACGUAGUUUAGAUUUCUGCAAGUCUCUUCCUCAGAUUGAGGAAAAACAAAGAAAUUGAGCUUAUUCUCACCUCAUUCUUACAUGAACUAAAUCCAGAAUAAAGCAUCAUUUAAAUACCAAGCACAUCCCUACCUCAGCCACUCAUGGAAUACUUUAUCUGUAAAGGGACAGAUAGAUAGUAAAUAUUUUUGGCUUUGGGGACCGUACAGUCUGUGUCGCCACUACUCAGCACUUCUGUUGAGGUGUGGAAUCAGCCCUAGACAACACAUAAACAAAUGGGUGUGGCUGUGUUCCAAUAAAAUGUUAUUUAUAAAACUAGGAAAUCAGCAGAUUUAGUCCACAGGCUGUAGUUUGCUGACCCUUGAAUUAGAGAGUCUUCCCCAAAUCCUCUUCCCAAGUUAUUGAAAGAAUGCCCAUAGGACCAUAGCUCCCUCACCUGGUUCUUUCAAGAAAUGAGACAAAUUCAGGGAUGGUUGGAGGGUGGAACGCCUACCUGUGACAUGACUAUUGAGCCUGAUUUCUUUCCUUUUAUCUCUUUAAAGUGAGUCAGGUCUUAACUUUAAACUGUCUCUAAAGUGGCAAUAACUGGGCCAUGUCAAAUACUCCCAAUGACAAAAUUUCUUCUUGGAGAAUGAAUGAGGGUUGCAUACAGUGGUGUGUUGGUAAAUGUUUAGCAACUGGCUCUCUUACUGAUUUCUGUAGUGUAAAUUCUCCCAUCCUGGCCAUCUGAAACUACCAAUAUGAUGUCACUUGAUGUAGAGUUGGGAAAAGACAGUCUCUUGAAUAAGUAUGAGCUGGUUCCAGCCCACUGCUGAACACAUAUUUAAAAGCUACAAUAGCUCUGCUCACUGCCAUUGCAGAGUCUGGAGGAAAGAGUAGCAGGCUUGAUAGGAGCAAUUGGCUGAAUAAUCUUUUGCAAUGCCAAUAAAUAAUGAAAAAGUAUAUAAAUAUAACGCUGUAUAGAAAGCUCUCAAGUUCAGUGUUUGGUUAAAAUACAUACUCAGUAAAUGGUAGCUAUUAUUGUCUUAGUUUAAGUUAUUGCAAGCAUUAAAAUUAAAUGUUUAGCUACAGACUCAAUCCAGUUUUAAUGUCAUUGUGUUAAUAAGGCCUCUUAACAUUGAAGCAACAAAGAUAAAGGAAUUUUUUUGUAGCUAUUCACGAUUCUGCCCAGCUCAAGGUAAAGAUAGCAACAAAAUACUCCAACCAGAAUAAAAGAAGUCUCCACUUGACUGCAGCUCUUCGCAACACUUCACAAGGGUCAAGCUGUGUUAGUUUCCUUCAGUGUUAAACAGAAUGCAUCUUAAGAGAAUAGUUCAAUUAUUGAUUGAAUAGUAGGUUCAAGUUGACUAUAAUCCCAACUAAUACACUCUAAGACCAGGGAUGGGCCGACAGAAGGGUAAAGUUUUCCACUCAAGUCUCGAGGCAAACACUCAGAUAGAAGUAGUAAUAUGGAUGCCUUCUAUUAUUUGGUCACAUACAAUACUGUUCCAGCCCAGUUGUGCAAAACUGGUGAAAUAAAAGGCAAAAAUAUUGACAACAGUUUGGGUAACUGGAUUCCAAAAUGGGCAUCCAUCUAAGAGAAAUUAAUGAAAAAAAAGCAUAUGGACCUUGAAAUACAUUAAUACACAGUUUAGGUUUAAACACUCAGUUUUUAUUAGAAAAGACUAACUUAUCCUGUUUUGAACACUACAAAAGUGCUUUCUGAACCAUUUACUCUCAAACCUCCUCCACCCAUUCCCCUCCAUCUAUAACGCUUUCUGCACAUCUGUAAAAGGUAUGACUUAGUGUUUGGUCUGUGAAAUAAGGUUAAAAAGGAAGCAUUUCUUUUUACAUUCUAGCUAAUGUUGAUAUUUUUCUCAUGCUUCUAUUAGCACAUAAUUCAGAUACAUUAGUUUUGAAGUUUUGAAUCUUCUCUGCUUCUUGAGGGCUCUCUGUUCUAGAUCAACAUGAUCUGUGGAACACCAGCCAAGUCCUGGGCAGAACCCUCCCCGUUGUCCAAAUAUUACUGAAUCAGUUGAGUUUUCUCUGUUGUCAAUGAAUUAUUCCACAUGUUUCUUUGGCUACAUUUUUUUUGGCUUUCUGUUCACAGUAAAUAUAGCCUUUGUUUUUAAAAACUUCUAUUAUGAAAAUUCCAAAUAUAUGCAAAUUAGAGAGAAUAGCAUAAUGAACCUCUAUGUGCUUAUCACACAUAUAGGUUCAACUAAUUAAAUUAUAUCAAUUUA